UACGGGGGGGGCAAGCGUUGUUCGGAAUUACUGGGCGUAAAGGGCUCGUAGGCGGCCAACUAAGUCAGACGUGAAAUCCCUCGGCUUAACCGGGGAACUGCGUCUGAUACUGGAUGGCUUGAGUUCAGGAGAGGGAUGCGAAAUUCCAGGUGUAGCGGUGAAAUGCGUAGAUAUCUGGAGGAACACCGGUGGCGAAGGCGGCAUCCUGGACCGACACUGACGCUGAGGAGCGAAAGCCAGGGGAGCAAACGGG
rnacentral:rRNA from 1 species